CAGUUACGUAGGUAGGUCUUCUGACCAAGAUUAUCGUGCCUCUGCUUUGCUCAUUUAGUCUGUCCUGAAUCAUGGUACGAUACAGACGUAUUCGGUGGAAUUAGUUUUUUUUUAGGGAGAAUUUUCUCCUAUUUCUUUAAAAAUGUAAAAAGUAGAUAUCUUAAUUAAUUACUAAAUGAAAAUGGUAGUCAGUCUGUGAAAGUUUCCUCCUUUUUUAGUUUUCUUCAUAUGUUAAAAUACCACAGUCAUUAGUAAAACAGAAAUGUAAAAUCUUCAAAUUUGCGACCAAAUCCGCUUUAAAAAGCGGUCCCAGCUUUACCACUACCAGAAUUUCAACUACAGGCCAUCCAGACUUCAACUUUAGAUCAACUGCCUUCCUGGUUCCUAUAGCUUCAAAUUCACAUGAGAGCUCCAUUUCAAGUCGCCUACAAUUCGCCACCUGGAUUACGAGCAAAUUACAAAAAGGAUUAGUACGGUAAUCCAGCAGAUCCAGCCCAAAAUCAGAAGAAGAUAGGGAUUUCUGGGGGAAGUUAAUUUGUGCGCGAAAUGAAAUAAUACGUGAAAAUUAUAUGAGUGUGAAAAGUUUCAAAUAAAUACAUCGAUAAUCUAAAAUAAAUACAAGUGUUUGGGGCCCCUCACUUCUGCGAUAUGUACAUACAGGUAUUUUUAGAAUUUAAUAUUUAUUAAUUUCUAAGGUUUAUUAAUUUUGUAAAAUCUUUAAACCGUUAUUAAUAUUUUAAAGUUUGAAUUCUGGGGAAUAUUCUUCUCAAAUAGUUUUUGUAUUGCUCUUUGAUAUUUGAUAUUUUUUCUGUUUUUUGUAAAUUAUACAACUGACUACCA